GGGUGAGUAACACGUGGAUAACCUACCUAUAAGACUGGGAUAACUUCGGGAAACCGGAGCUAAUACCGGAUAAUAUAUUGAACCGCAUGGUUCAAUAGUGAAAGACGGUUUUGCUGUCACUUAUAGAUGGAUCCGCGCCGCAUUAGCUAGUUGGUAAGGUAACGGCUUACCAAGGCAACGAUGCGCAGCCGACCUGAGAGGGUGAUCGGCCACACUGGAACUGAGACACGGUCCAG
rnacentral:rRNA from 1 species